rnacentral:rRNA from 1 species
UACGUAGGGUGCAAGCGUUAAUCGGAAUCACUGGGCGUAAAGGGCGCGUAGGCGGGGAGGUAAGUCGGGUGUGAAAUCCCUCGGCCCAACCGAGGAACUGCGCCCGAGACUGCUUCUCUUGAGUCCCGGAGAGGAAGAUGGAAUUCCUGGUGUAGCGGUGGAAUGCGCAGAUAUCAGGAGGAACACCAAUAGCGAAGGCAGCUCGCUGGGACGUUACUGACACUGAGGCGCGAAAGCGUGGGGAGCGAACAGG